UGAAGCUCAAGGCAUGAAGGUCUAUAAUGG
rnacentral:piRNA from 1 species